UACGUAGGGCGCAAGCGUUAUCCGGAAUUAUUGGGCGUAAAGAGCUCGUAGGCGGUUUGUCGCGUCUGCCGUGAAAGUCCGGGGCUCAACUCCGGAUCUGCGGUGGGUACGGGCAGACUAGAGUGAUGUAGGGGAGACUGGAAUUCCUGGUGUAGCGGUGAAAUGCGCAGAUAUCAGGAAGAACACCGACGGCGAAGGCAGCUCGCUGGGACGGUACUGACGCUGAGACGCGAAAGCGUGGGGAGCGAACAGG
rnacentral:rRNA from 1 species